rnacentral:rRNA from 1 species
UGGCGGACGGGUGAGUAAUGUCUGGGAAACUGCCCGAUGGAGGGGGAUAACUACCGGAAACGGUAGCUAAUACCGCAUAACGUCGCAAGACCAAAGAGGGGACCUUCGGGCCUCUUGCCAUCGGAUGUGCCCAGAUGGGAUUAGCUAGUAGGUGGGGUAACGGCUCACCUAGGCGACGAUCCCUAGCUGGUCUGAGAGGAUGACCAGCCACACUGGAACUGAGACACGGUCCAG